rnacentral:tmRNA from 1 species
GAUCGUCAUGUCUUGGAUCGUCCUAAAUUUAUGGACUUACGCUCAAACUUCCACUGGAGUUGCGAGAAGAGAUUAAUCAGGUAGUCAUUGCUGGGUGCCCUGACAUACGCGUUUGCAAUGAUGAAAUUUUAAAUAGUAUGGAUAUGAGCGUAGAUAUCCGAGGGGCAAUAUGCUUGGACGCGAGUUCGACUCUCGCCAUCUCCAUUA